rnacentral:rRNA from 1 species
CUACGGGAGGCAGCAGUCGAGGAAAUUUUACAAUGCUCGAAAGAGUGAUAAAAUGAGUCGGAGUGUUUCUUUUGAAGAAACUUUUUUCUGCUGUAAAAAUGCAGAAGAAUAAGGACUGGGUAAGAUCGGUGCCAGCCGCCGCGGUAAUACCGGCGGUCCGAGUCGCAUCCACAUUUAUUGGGUCUAAAACAUUCGUAGCUUGUUUUAUAAGUCUCUUGUGAAAUCUUAUAUCUCAAAUAUAAGGCGUGCAAGAGAUACUAUAUUACUAGGGACCGGAAGACGCAAAGAGUAUGAUUAAGGUAGCGGUAAAAUGUGUUAAUCUUAAUCAGACUAACAAUAGCGAAGGCACUUUGCGAGUACGGAUCUGACAGUGAGGGAUGAAGGCUAGGGGCGCAAAAGGGAUUAGAUACCCCCGUAGUC